rnacentral:lncRNA from 1 species
CCCCCUACUCAAGAAGAAUCUCAAAAGAACCAAAAAGAGUAUAAUGUUGGGUAUUUGAGGAAAUAGUGAUAUUUCUAGCUCGGAUGAAGAAGAAGAAGAGGAAGAUAUUGUAAAUCUUUACCUCAUGGCCAAUGAAGAUGAGGUAUAUCUUGAAAACUCUUUUAAAUUUUUUUUGGAUAAAUUAUAUGAAGUCUUUAAUGAUCUAAUAGAAGAAUAUAAAAUGUUAAAGCUAAAAAAUAAAAAUCUUAAAAGUUUAUAUAUGUCUUUAGCUGAAGAAAUGAAUAAAAUUUUGAUAGAAAAAGAUGAUCUUUUGAAUAAAAAGAAAAUCUUGACUGAAGAAAAA